rnacentral:rRNA from 1 species
UACGUAGGGCGCAAGCGUUGUCCGGAAUUAUUGGGCGUAAAGAGCUCGUAGGCGGUCUGUUGCGUCGGAUGUGAAAGCCCGGGGCUUAACCCCGGGUCUGCAUUCGAUACGGGCAGACUAGAGUGUGGUAGGGGAGAUCGGAAUUCCUGGUGUAGCGGUGGAAUGCGCAGAUAUCAGGAGGAACACCGAUGGCGAAGGCAGAUCUCUGGGCCGUAACUGACGCUGAGGAGCGAAAGCAUGGGGAGCGAACAGG